rnacentral:rRNA from 1 species
GAUGAACGCUGGCGGCGUGCCUAAUACAUGCAAGUCGAGCGAACAGACGAGGAGCUUGCUCCUCUGACGUUAGCGGCAGACGGGUGAGUAACACGUGGAUAACCUACCUAUAAGACUGGGAUAACUUCGGGAAACCGGAGCUAAUACCGGAUAAUAUAUUGAACCGCAUGGUUCAAUAGUGAAAGACGGUUUUGCUGUCACUUAUAGAUGGAUCCGCGCCGCAUUAGCUAGUUGGUAAGGUAACGGGUUACCAAGGCAACGAUGCGUAGCCGACCUGAGAGGGUGAUAGGCCCCACUGGAACGUGGACACGGUCCAGACUCCUACGGGAGGCAGCAGUAGGGAAUCUGCCGCAAUGGGCGAAAGCCUGACGGAGCAACGCCGCGUGAGUGAUGAAGGUCUUCGGAUCGUAAAACUCUGUUAUUAGGGAAGAACAAAUGUGUAAGUAACUAUGCACGUCUUGACGGUACCUAAUCAGAAAGCCACGGCUAACUACGUG